CGCACAUCACGCCGCUAAACGCAUUUGAACCCAACAAAUUAUCCACUGCCCCAAUGGCGCCCCUGCCUUUCUUCCCCACCGCUAUGCUCCCCUCUCCCCACGGACGCCUCCCAGCCUCUGCCGCCGCCCCGCGCGACGGACGCCAUCCCUCCCCUAUUUCCCUCUUCACCUCCACGGCCACGCCGCGUCGCCGCCCGAGCCCCACUACGGUCGCUAUGAUCCGCCGCGCCGCCCCACACCCGAAGCUGCAGUCGAGAUGCAUCUGAGCGAUAACGAGGGGAUCGAGGGCGUGCGGUUCGCGGUGACUGGCGGGCAGGGCUUCGUCGGCGCCGCGCUAUGCCUAGAGUUGAUCCGCCGCGGCGCCCUGGAGGUCUGCUCCCUCGACGGCUCGACCUGCGCGAUUCCUCCUCUUGGUCCCAGCAGCUCCUCGACGCCAGUGUCCGCUUCUUCCAAGGUUCUCUCCCUCACUCUCUUUUGCUUAAAUUACUGUGGGUUUUUUCUUAUGUCGCCAUGAGUGGGCGUGAGACUUAAAUGAAGCGUCGCAGGGAAGAAGGUAAUUUGUUUUUCUGUCCAAUGCAUUGAAGCUAUAAUGUACGUGCUUAGUAAAUUGUUUAGGGCGGUGUGGGACUUAUAAUGCCUGCCAAGUGCCAACUUAGUGAAUUGAUAAACCAGGAAUUUUGUGUUUUUUACUUCACUUGAUUUUGCACAAUUCAGUUAUGUGUCCACUGAAUGGAUUUGACAUGACAUUUCCUGCAGGCAAUGAGGGAAGUAGAUGGGCAUGGCUGAUCUGUUCGUCAUGCAGUUAUGUGCUAUCUUAUUCCUUGAUACUGAGUGUGAGCCCAUGCAUGUGCAAGCUAUAUGUACUCUUAAGCUAUUAGUGUUCUCUAACUUAUUUCCUACUAUUCCUGUAUGGUACCACUUUUUCCCUAGCAAGGAUAUGUGAGCCUAUUAACCUUAUGUUGUCUGUCAAUGUCAGAUUUAGAACCCAGCAAAGAAAUAUGGCAGAAAUUUGCAUAUUAACCUUUCUUGUGCAGGUUUGAGAUAUAAAUGUCACACAGAUGCUUCUUUGCCAUGAGUGUGUAAACUUAAUGAGGCAACAUGGUCUUCGGCACAAGAAAUACCCAUGGACGUGAGUGCGGGCUGCCGCUCCGGCCUCCACUCCUCUGCUUGACCACCGCUGCCACCACGUUGAGGCCCUCGCCACCAAGCGGCAUGCUUUCCCGUGAGCUAGCUUCUUCAACACAUGUUUCUCUGAAUUUCUACAAGCUAAAUUAGUACAUGCUUCUCUGAACGUUAGCCUGUAUUGGAUUCUUGUAUGUUAUGAUUUGCCCAAUCUGCUCUUCCUACACCCAUGGAUAGGGACAAAGGGCAGGUACACAAAUAGCCAAGAACACAAGGAGACGUGCAGGUCUGCGUUUCUGAGUUAUAUCUCUUUUAGCACCAGCAAUUAAAUGGUAUGUAGCUGGUCAGGCGUGCUUGCCUAAAAUGUACUUUAGUAGUUGCUAGAUCCAUGCUAGCUUCUAUGUUGUUCUUGCAGCCUCAGCUAGCUAAUUUUAUUUAAAGCAAAUGUUGUUCUAUCCUUCCAAUUACUGUUAUUCAGUUCUUCUUUUCUUUUUUCUGUUGUCAUUCACAGUACAAAUGUUAUGAGAAUUUCAUGAAUUUUGUCAUAUCUUUCUCCCAGUUACCUUAAUUUUGUAAAUUGUGGUCUAAUUCAAUUUUGAGUUUGUUUUCAGAAAAGCCUACUUUAAAGCUGUGUAAAUCCAUUAUUUCCUUUGAGUUUGCCGUGGAGGUGAGUUGGGAACCUUUUUUAUACUUGGUGGAUGCACUGAUGUAGUGACGGAGACUUGCCUGAAUGUUGUUUUCCUCCGCGCGAAGUGCUUACAAUUCUCAAAGGCGUCAACAAGUCCAGGAGGAGAUUGACAAGUUGGUUUGGUACCAUCAGCCGAUUGGCCAGUUGGAAAACCAGCGGGGAAAACAUGUACUGAAUUCUUGUUGUAAAGAGCGAAGGCAUGGUUUGGUUUGCAUGACAUUAUCUUCAAUUGGCUGGAGAUAUAUAAAUGUUGAUACUUGAUUUUCUCACCUGGCAUUUUAUCACUUCUGUGAAAGACACUCCAUUUUCUCAUAGUAAUAGUUCGUUAUUAUUGUUGAUACAUAAAUGGAUCUUUAUUGAAUGGUACUUGUAUGUGUGUAUGGAGAAUGGUGAUUAACCUUUUAAAUAAUCUAUUAUCCAACAAGGUGAUUCUAAUUUCUGAUUA